rfam:Ruminococcus torques CAG:61 genomic scaffold, scf61
UAUAAAAGUAAUUGACUGCCGAAGACAGCAGGUGCCGUUAGGCAUAAGGUUGAGAACGCCUGCCGAGGAAGAUACGAAUUCUUUUUAAAAAGAACAUUUGUAAACCUCUGUGUCUUCUGUCGCAGAGGUUUUUUGUAUAGGCG